rnacentral:rRNA from 1 species
UACGACGUAUCAGAGUUUGAUCCUGGCUCAGGAUGAACGCUAGCGGCAGGCUUAACACAUGCAAGUCGAGGGGCAGCAUGAGGGUUAGCAAUAACCCUUGAUGGCGACCGGCGCAAGGGUGCGUAACGCGUGAGCAACUUGCCCGUUUCAGGGGGAUAACCGGUGGAAACGCCGACUAAUACCCCAUAGCAUCAGUUGAAGGCAUCUUCUACUGAUUAAAGAAUUUCGGAAACGGAUAGGCUCGCGUGACAUUAGCUAGAUGGCGGGGUAACGGCCCACCAUGGCGACGAUGUCUAGGGGUUCUGAGAGGAAGGUCCCCCACACUGGAACUGAGACACGGUCCAG